rnacentral:rRNA from 1 species
AGGUGAACCUGCGGAAGGAUCAUUAUCGAAAGCUCUGGCUUUUGCUGUGCCUUGAACCCUUUGAUGUAUAAACCUUUGUUGCUUCCGUCGGCCGACGACACAAAACUGUGGCAUCGGCUGAUGGAGGGUAUUUGAGAACUUUGGCUGUUUAAAUGUUAUUAGUCUGAAAGAUUUGAGAUGAAAACGCUCAAAUAAUAAAACUUUCAACAACGGAUCUCUUGGCUCCUGCAUCGAUGAAGAACGCAGCGAAAUGCGAUAAGUAAUGUGAAUUGCAGAAUUCAGUGAAUCAUCGAGUCUUUGAACGCACAUUGCGCCCUAUGGUUAUUCCGUAGGGCAUGCCCGUCUCAGCGUCAGAAGAAACCCUCAGGCAAGGCUUUUAAUGCCAUUCCUGGAUUGUGUCAGAGUGGCAGCAGACCCGAGGUCAUUCUGCCCUUUGUAAAACCAUGGAUGUAUUGAAGAUUUGUUUCAUUCCAACGUGAUAGAAUAUUUGAUUCGUUGGUAUCAAUUAUCUGCACAUACUUCCAAAAAAAC